UACAGAGGUCCCGAGCGUUGUUCGGAUUCACUGGGCGUAAAGGGUGUGUAGGAGGCUUGGUAAGUCCGGUGUGAAAUCCCGCAGCUCAACUGCGGAACUGCAUUCGAUACUGCCGAGCUAGAGGAUCGGAGGGGGAAGCGGAAUUCUUGGUGUAGCGGUGAAAUGCGUAGAUAUCAAGAGGAACACCGGUGGCGAAGGCGGCUUCCUGGAAGAUACCUGACUCUGAAACACGAAAGCUAGGGGAGCGAAUGGG
rnacentral:rRNA from 1 species